rnacentral:rRNA from 1 species
CCGCCAGACUCCUACGGGAGGCAGCAGUGGGGAAUAUUGCACAAUGGGGGAAACCCUGAUGCAGCGACGCCGCGUGAAGGAAGAAGUAUUUCGGUAUGUAAACUUCUAUCAGCAGGGAAGAAAAUGACGGUACCUGACUAAGAAGCCCCGGCUAACUACGUGCCAGCAGCCGCGGUAAUACGGAGGAUGCGAGCGUUAUCCGGAUUUAUUGGGUUUAAAGGGUGCGUAGGCGGACAGUCAAGUCAGCGGUAAAAAUGCGGUGCUCAACGCCGUACAGCCGUUGAAACUGGCAGUCUUGAGUGGGCGAGAAGUAUGCGGAAUGCGUGGUGUAGCGGUGAAAUGCAUAGAUAUCACGCAGAACUCCGAUUGCGAAGGCAGCAUACCGGCGCCCGACUGACGCUGAGGCACGAAAGCGUGGGUAUCGAACAGGAUUAGAUACCCCCGUAC